rnacentral:rRNA from 1 species
AACGUACGCUGGCGGCACGCCUAACACAUGCAAGUCGAACGAAGUAGCAAUACUUAGUGGCAGACGGGUGAGUAACAUGUGGGUAUCUGCCCUUUGGCCUGGAAUAACACGAGGAAACUUGUGCUAAUACCGGAUAAGUCUUUACGGAGAAAGCUUUAUGCACCAUUGGAUGAGCCCGCACUUGAUUAGUUUGUUGGUGGGGUAAUGGCCUACCAAGACUGUGAUCAAUAGCUGAUUUGAGAGGAUGAUCAGCCACAUUGGGACUGAGACACGGCCCAAACUCCUACGGGAGGCAGCAGUGGGGAAUCUUGCACAAUGGAGGAAACUCUGAUGCAGCGAUGCCGCGUGAGUGAAGGAGGCCUUUGGGUUGUAAAGCUCUUUCGUCGGGGAAGAAAAUGACUGUACCCGAAUAAGAAGGUCCGGCUAACUUCGUGCCAGCAGCCGCGGUAAUACGAAGGGACCUAGCGUAGUUCGGAAUUACUGGGCUUAAAGAGUUCGUAGGUGGUUGAAAAAGUUAGUGGUGAAAUCCCAGAGCUUAACUCUGGAACUGCCAUUAAAACUUUUCAGCUAGAGUAUGAUAGAGGAAAGCAGAAUUUCUAGUGUAGAGGUGAAAUUCGUAGAUAUUAGAAAGAAUACCAAUUGCGAAGGCAGCUUUCUGGAUCAUUACUGACACUGAGGAACGAAAGCAUGGGUAGCGAAGAGGAUUAGAUACCCUCGUAGUCCAUGCCGUAAACGAUGUGUGUUAGACGUUGGAAAUUUAUUUUCAGUGUCGCAGCGAAAGCGAUAAACACACCGCCUGGGGAGUACGACCGCAAGGUUAAAACUCAAAUGAAUUGACGGGGACCCGCACAAGUAGUGGAGCAUGUGGUUUAAUUCGAAGAUACGCGCAGAACCUUACCAACACUUGACAUGUUCGUCGCGACUCUAAGAGAUUAGAGUUUUCGGUUCGGCCGGACGAAACACAGGUGCUGCAUGGCUGUCGUCAGCUCGUGUCGUGAGAUGUUGGGUUAAGUCCCGCAACGAGCGCAACCCUCACUUUUAGUUGCCAUCAUUAAGUUGGGCACUCUGAAAGAACUGCCAGUGAUAAGCUGGAGGAAGGUGGGGAUGACGUCAAGUCCUCAUGGCCCUUACGUGUUGGGCUACACACGUGCUACAAUGGUAUCUACAACAGGAAGCAAGACUGCGAGGUCAAGCAAAUCCUUAAAAGAUACCUCAGUUCGGAUUGCACUCUGCAACUCGAGUGCAUGAAGCUGGAAUUACUAGUAAUCGUGGAUCAGCGUGCCACGGUGAAUGCGUUCCCGGGUCU